UAUAAAAAAGCGCCAGUUCUUUAGGAGUAAUUUUGAAAAUAUAAAAUUUAUGUAUAAAGAAGACGAGGAAAAGAGUCAUCGAAAUAAUCGGCGGAUGCUCUUUAGGUGGUUACAGCCUCAAUAAUAUACAAAAAUUUCAAGUAAUUGGAAUUACAAAAUUAUUAU
rnacentral:ncRNA from 1 species